GAUGAACGCUGGCGGCGUGCCUAACACAUGCAAGUCGAUCGGAGUCCAGCCUUUAAGACCUUCGGGUCAAAGAGGGGAAGACUGAGUGGCGGACGGGUGAGUAACACGUGGGCAACCUGGCUCAUAGAGGGGGAUAACAGAGAGAAAUUUCUGCUAAUACCGCAUAAGCACACACUGCCGCAUGGCAGAGGGUGAAAAGAGAAUCGCUAUGAGAUGGACCCGCGUCUGAUUAGCCAGUUGGCAGGGUAAGAGCCUACCAAAGCGACGAUCAGUAGCCGAUCUGAGAGGAUGAACGGCCACAUUGGGACUGAGACACGGCCCAAACUCCUACGGGAGGCAGCAGUGGGGGAUAUUGCACAAUGGGGGGAACCCUGAUGCAGCGACGCCGCGUGAGUGAAGAAGUAUUUCGGUAUGUAAAGCUCUAUCAGCAGGGAAGAUAAUGACAGUACCUGAAUAAGAAGCCCCGGCUAACUACGUG
rnacentral:rRNA from 1 species